UACGGGGGGAGCAAGCGUUGUUCGGAUUUACUGGGCGUAAAGGGCGCGUAGGCGGUCAGCACAAGUCAGUUGUGAAAUCUCCGGGCUUAACUCGGAAAGGUCAACUGAUACUGUGCGACUAGAGUGCGGAAGAGGGAAGCGGAAUUUCCGGUGUAGCGGUGAAAUGCGUAGAUAUCGGAAGGAACACCAGUGGCGAAAGCGGCUUCCUGGUCCAGCACCGACGUUCAGGCACGAAAGCGUGGGGAGCAAACAGG
rnacentral:rRNA from 1 species